UACGUAGGGGGGCUAGCGUUGUCCGGAAUCAUUGGGCGUAAAGAGCGCGUAGGCGGCUAGAUAAGUCCGGUGUGAAAGUCACAGGCUCAACCUGUGAAUGCCGCUGGAAACUGUCUGGCUAGAGUCCGGAAGGGGCGAGUGGAAUUCCUGGUGUAGCGGUGAAAUGCGCAGAUAUCAGGAGGAACACCGAUGGCGAAGGCAGGUCUCUGGGCCGAUACUGACGCUGAGGAGCGAAAGCGUGGGGAGCGAACAGG
rnacentral:rRNA from 1 species